UGACGGUACCUGCAGAAGAAGCGCCGGCUAACUACGUGCCAGCAGCCGCGGUAAUACGUAGGGCGCAAGCGUUGUCCGGAAUUAUUGGGCGUAAAGAGCUCGUAGGCGGCUUGUCGCGUCUGCCGUGAAAGUCCGGGGCUUAACUCCGGAUCUGCGGUGGGUACGGGCAGGCUAGAGUGCGGUAGGGGUGACUGGAAUUCCUGGUGUAGCGGUGGAAUGCGCAGAUAUCAGGAGGAACACCGAUGGCGAAGGCAGGUCACUGGGCCGCAACUGACGCUGAGGAGCGAAAGCAUGGGGAGCGAACAGGAUUAGAUACCCUGGUAGUCCAUGCCGUAAACGUUGGGCACUAGGUGUGGGGGACAUUCCAAGUUUUCCGCGCCGUAGCUAACGCAUUAAGUGCCCCGCCUGGGGAGUACGGCCGCAAGGCUAAAACUCAAAAGGAAUUGACGGGGGCCCGCACAAGCGGCGGAGCAUGCGGAUUAAUUCGAUGCAACGCGAAGAACCUUACCAAGGCUUGACAUACACCGGAAACUCUUAGAGAUAAGAGCCUCUUCGGACUGGUGUACAGGUGGUGCAUGGUUGUCGUCAGCUCGUGUCGUGAGAUGUUGGGUUAAGUCCCGCAACGAGCGCAACCCCUGUCCUAUGUUGCCAGCACGUUAUGGUGGGGACUCAUGGGAGACUGCCGGGGUCAACUCGGAGGAAGGUGGGGAUGACGUCAAAUCAUCAUGCCCCUUAUGUCUUGGGCUUCACGCAUGCUACAAUGGCCGGUACAAAGGGCUGCGAUCCCGCGAGGGUGAGCGAAUCCCAAAAAGCCGGUCUCAGUUCGGAUUGGGGUCUGCAACUCGACCCCAUGAAGUCGGAGUCGCUAGUAAUCGCAGAUCAGCAACGCUGCGGUGAAUACGUUCCCGGGCCUUGUACUCAAAGCCCGUCAAG
rnacentral:rRNA from 1 species